rnacentral:rRNA from 1 species
CCUCGGCGUAAAGGGUGGUUAAUUUUUGAAAAAUUAAAGCCGAAUUUUCCCUAAACUGUUAUACGUUCUCGGGAAAUAGAAGCCCCACUACGAAAGUGGCUUUAUAAAGAUUGAACCCACGAAAGCUAAGACACAAACUGGGAUUAGAUACCCCACUAUGCUUAGCCCUAAACUCAGACAAACCAACAUACCCACUUUGUCGCCCGGGAACUACAAGCACCAGCUUAAAACCCAAAGGACUUGGCGGUGCUUAACACCCCCCUAGAGGAGCCUGUUCUAGAACCGAUAACCCUCGUUUAACCUCACCCUUUCUUGCCUAUCCCGCCUAUAUACCGCCGUCGUCAGCUUACCCUGUGAAGGCCCUCAUAGUAAGCAAAUUAGUAA